rnacentral:lncRNA from 1 species
GUAGUAUAGAAACAUGUUGAUAUGAUCAACAUGUAGUUCAUGCUAUAUUUAUAUAUUUUAAUUUUUGAUUUAAUGCUAUGUAAUAAUCAUGUAAUAGGAUUUUAGAUCUAGGGAUUCUCUGAUUUUAAAAAAUAAUUUUGAUUUAUUUUAGUCUUCCGCUGUAUGAUCUUGAAAAAGUUUCAAGAUCUAACCCUGAAACCCU